UUUAAACACAAGGUUUAUGACCAUAAAAGGAAGGUUGGGUUUGAUUUUGGGAGGUUUGGUCCCAACAGUUUAGGAAUUAGGGGCCCAAAGGGUCCUAAAUUGAACUUAGUUUGAUUUCAUCAAAAAUUUAAUAAUUGGGGUUCUUUGAUAUGCCGAAUCUAACUGUGUAUGUAGAUUCUUAAUUUUUUGUCCCGUUUUCAAAUUGGUCUACAUUAAGGUCCAAAGGGUCC
rnacentral:lncRNA from 1 species